GCCACAGCCACCACUUGCCUCUCCUAGGACUGAACACACUGCUGAGUCAUCUGACCCCUGUUCAUCCUUUCUUCCUGUCUGGAGGCAAUGGGAGGCCAGAAAAGCAAAGGGAUUUUCUGGGUCCUGGCCCCAGCCCAGCCCUUCCCUUUCUGAGAAAAGCUGGGGGAAGGGGAACGAGUGUUCAGUCAGUUGCAUCAGAAUGCCUUGCACAAGACACUCUCCUGGAUAGACACAGCUCUGCCUCCAGCCUCUACCCCACCCUGCUGACCUUGGACCCCAGUGAGAACUAGGGAGCUGUGCUUGGAACAGGCCACAGGAAGUAAGGACAACAGAGGAAGCAGUCUGUGAUAACCCAAGCUGUGUGUGCUGAGGUAAGGCUGGACUCUGGGGACACAGAGACACUCCAUUCAGAUGGGGUUAGUUCUCCAAAAGCUCAUUAAUAGGCCCUAUGAGAUGGCUUAGAGGGUGAAAGUGCAAGCCUGAUGACCUGAGGUUAAUCCCUGGGACCCAUGUAAAGGUGAGAAGAGAGAACUGACUCCACGAAGCGGUCCUGUGACCUCCACAAGUACCAUGGCACAUGUAUCUCCACAGACAUAUCACACACACACACACACACACACACACACACACACACACACACGCACGCACGCACGCACGCACGCACGCACGCACAAAUACAUAAAUAAAAAUUUAAAUUCCCUCAAUGUAACUAAGGAAUAUGCUAGCUUGCCCCCCCCCACACACACACACACCCACACACACGAGUUGUGUCGCUGGUUUGCUAUCAUGAUCAUGUGACUUACUGGAGCUGUGUUUUUUUAGCUGCUGACCAACAUUUUACUACCUCAGGGGGAAAAAAUUAAAAUUCCAAAUUCUGAGUACAGUUUCCACUGAAUUCAUGUCCCUUUCAAUAUGUGUCCUUUUUUUUGUCCACUGUACAAAUCAAAUCAUCAUAAGUUAGGGGUCAUAUGUUUUGCUUGUUUGUUUAUUUGAGAGACAGGGUUUCAUUAUGUAAAGCUCACUAUGAAGACCUGCCUGACCUGGAAGUGGCACAGAGCUUUCUGCCUUUGGUUCCCAAGUGCUGGGUGUGAAGUUCUGCUGUAUUUAAAGCUGUAAGCAAGAGGGCAUCAACUUUAUUUUCAUUUUAUUUAUUUAUUGUGCUUGGAGACUGACUAUAAAUAGCUGUCUUGUGCAUGGUAAAUGUGUGCUCUGCCAUGAGCCUCUGAGCAAUGGGAUUACAGGUCCUGCUGAUGUUUUAAACUUCUGGUGAGAGAGAAAAGGAGGUGCCAAGGACACCUCCCAAUUUCCUGGCCUGGACAAAGGCAAGUCAGGGGCUUUGCCAUUUGAUGAGAUGGAGCAAGAUGUUUUGGGGAAGCCAGUGCUGUUUGGUUGGAUGAAUGAAUGUCCUGGAGUUCAGGAUGUCUUUGCUGAAGGUCCAGGGAUGAAAGUUACAGAUGUGAGACCUGGUGAGAUUUGGGCUAUGGGACUAGUUGCCUUGCCUGGAAGGACCAAAGAGAAGCAGAGUGAGAUGGGAAGGAGGGAAUCAAGAGAGUGAGGAGCAUGGCCACCAGAGAAGAGAGAAAAGGAACAGGGGUGGUAACCAUGUCAAAAGCAGUUGUAUUAUUUAGGGUCUCUAGAAGAAGAACACUGGCAGGAUGAAUAUAUAUAUUUUAAAUCAGAUGUAUUAGAUUGGCUUACAAAUACGGUCUGGGCAGUCCAAGAAUGCCUGUCUUCACAAUGGAGAGGCUGAGAACCCUGGAGCAGCUCAGUCCAUAAGUCUGGAUGCUUCAGUGAUCCCAAUCUGUAGCCAAAUACCCGGAGAAUUCCUGGGCAGUCACUGGUCUUCAGGCUACACUGGAAGCCUAAAAAGGCUGGGUUGUGAUAUUAGUGAAGGAAUGUGGAAGCAGUAAUAGCAACAACAGAGUAGAUGAACUCAUCAGCAAGACAUGAAGGCAACGAGGCAAAAAGCAAAGGUUUGUUUUUUUCCCUUAGAGACUCUUUUUAUGUGGUUCCCACCAGAAGUUGCUGAUCAAAUUCAGGAUAGGUCUUUCCACUUCAAGUCACCUGAUCAUGAAAGUCCUUUCACAGAUGUGCCCAGUGACUUAUAUAUUACUUGAUUUCAGAUAUGGCCAAAUUACAAUCAAGAUUAACUAUCUAUCACAAGUCUACCGCUUGUCAACUUGACACCCAAAAGCAUCUAUUUGAAGCUAUAACUCUCCCCCCUUUCUCCUUAUAGGUUCACAACCAUAUUAUAAUGCAAAAUUCAUUCAGUCCAACUUUAAAAGUUCCUGAAAUCUUUAAUAAUUUUACUACUUUCAAAGUCCAAAGUUUCUAACCUGUGAGUUCCUAAAACAUAAAAAAAAAAAGCAAGUUAGACCCUUCCACAAUACAAUGCCAGAGUAAGCUUUCUUACCCUGAAAUGAAGAUCAUGGUGUAGCAAGGAGUAAUCAAACCAAAACACAGCAGGGAAACCUCCAAAUCCUGCAACUCCAUGACUGGCACCUGGGGCUUGUGAUGAAGUUCCAAACUCUUCAACAGUCCUUCCACAAACCAGUUUCAAAGACCCAUGGUCAGAUUUAGCUCAGCAGCAACCCCACUUCUGGUACCAAUUACUAUAUCCUAUUCCAGUGCUUGGCAUAAGAGUUAGUGCUUUUGGAGCCUAUGACAGACUUCUUGGCUUGCAGAGGAUGAAAAGAUGGCUGGGCAGGAGCACGGUGAAUAGUAAGUGGACAAGUGAAUAGUGGGAGGAGUCUAAAUAGAUUGUGGGGGAAUUGUAGAUGGGUAAUCUUUAAGAUUAUAGUCUUCAAACCAGUCCUUUGAUCCCAGCACUUGGGAGGCAGGAGCCAAUGUUGGAGUGUGAAGUCUGGGACAGUAGGUGCUCAGUCCAGCUACAGUGAGUGAAUUAAAGGGCAAGAAGAGGGCUGGAGAGAUGAGUCAGCAGUCAAGAGUGUUCCAUGCUCUGGCAGAGGAGUUUCCAGAACCCAUGUUGGGCAUCUUAUAAUCCCUAUAGCUCCAGCUCAAGGAGAUUUGAUGCCUCCAACAUCUACAGGCACUCGAGCUCACAUGCAAAACCCUCACACAGACAUACUUAGACAGGAAUUAAAAAAUUAACUUUUUAAAAAGGUGAAUAAGAGAGCUGGAAGGUGGUUUAGUUGGUAAGUUUCUUGCCUCAUGAGCAUGAGGAGCCGAGUUCUAGCCCCAGAAUGCACAUAAAAAUGAUGGGUUGAUGGCAUGUGCUUGUGGAAAGAGAAGGGCGGGGCUUGGAAUUCAAACUCACUCUUUGAUCUGGGAAGUAUGGAAGAGGAUCAGCUGGUCAUCUUUUCUCUUUCUUUCUUUUCUCUUUUCUUCUCCUUUUCUUUCUUUUUUUUUUUUUUUUUUUUUUUUUUUUUUUUUUUUUUUUUUUUUGAGACAAGGCUCUCUGUAGCUUUGGAACCAUGUCCUGGAACUCACUUUAUAGACCAGGCUGGCCUUGCACUCACAAAGAUCUGCCUGCCUCUGACUCCCAAGUGCUGGGAUUAAAGGUGUGUACCACCACUGCCUGGCUUCUCUGCCACUUUCGUAAUCUAUCAGGUUUUUAACCCCGAUAUUGGACUUCCGGGUUUUUAUUAAUAAUAGAACAAUUUAGAUAAACACGUCAAGGUUGUCCUCUGGUCUACACAUUCAUGUGUAAGUAUGUUCAGUCACACUUGCACUCACACUCAUGAACUCACACACACACACACACACACGCACCCACACACUCGUGUACACACACAUGAACUCAUUUAAAUACACAUUUAUUUAAGAUCGGGAGGGGCAAGAAGACAUGGGCCCACCCUCUGGAAGCUUAGUAGAGCUGAGAGAUCCAGAGGGAGGAGCUGUCCUAGCAUAGGAGAGAGGGAGUUAUCUGGAAGUGUUACUGUAGGUCAUCCAUCAAGUCAGGACCUACAUCCGAACUUGACCACAUCUGGACUGGAAUCUCGAUUUCUCUUUUCCAGGAUGUUCUGCCUAUGGGAACACAGCUUAGCUGAGGAAAGUAACCAGUGGGGCUAUGGCACUUUCAAGAGUACAGAUUUCAAAACAGUUUAUUAUAGUAGUAUUAACAUUAUAUUGCUAAUUAUUAUUUUAAUUUUGUAGUUUGGUUAAAAUUCUAAGAUUAAGACUUGUAAGAUCUCCUCCUCAUUCUUGCCCCCAGCUCCACUGCUUCUCAUUCUGGAAGCAAACCAUCUUCCUGUUUCUUUCAUGACAUAAAUUCUGUGCUAUUUUUCUUUGUUUCAGUUAUUUGAGGCAGGGUCUCACUAUUCAGACCAGGCCUUAAACUCACAGAGAUCCACCUGCUUCUACCUCCUGAGUUCUGGCCUUAAAGGCAUGCACUACUAUCCCUGACAUAAAUUCUGUUUGUUUCCUAUAUUUAUACAUAUGGACACAUACUACUGUCCUUUAGACAGCUUCUUUCUUUCCUUCUUUCUCUUUUUAGAGUGUGUGUGUGUGUGUGUGUGUGUGUGUGUGUGUGUGUGUGUGUGUGUUACUUUACCUACAUGUAUGUCAGAGGGAGAGGCUUCCUAUAGAGGGGAAGGAGCCAUGUAUGGGAGACGGGUGACAAUGUAGAGAUUUAAGAGUCCAUGGGUGUGUGUAGAGGGAGACGGGGCUGGGUAGAAUAAGCACCACAGUCUCUCUGCUGGCCACUUGCAUGCCUGGUGCCCAGGGAGGCCAGAAGCGGAUGAGAAUGUCAGAUCCCCUGGAAUUGGAGUUGUAGAUAGUUGUGAGAUGAUGGGGGAGAUCCUUCUGUCUGCUGUGAAUAUAUGUUUCUCUUAUUGGUUGAUGAAUAAAGCUGUUUUGGCCAAUGCCCAGGCAGGAUUUAGACAGACAAGAAAUCUGAACAGAGAUAGAGAAAGGUAGUAGGUGGGAUCAGGGAGACUCCAUAUAGCUACUGGGAAGAUAGGAUACCAGACAUUCUCUGGUAAGCCAAGACUGUGUGGAGAUACACAGAUUAAUAGAAAUGGGUUAAUAAUUAAGACAGAGCUAGCCAAUAAGAAGCCUGAGCCACCAGCCAAACAGUUUAUAAUUAAUAUAAAUCUCUGUGUUUAUUUGGGACUAAAGGGCUGCGGGACCAGGCGGGACAGAAACUUCCAUCUACAGUGAGUUGCCAUAUGUGUGCUGUGAAUCCAACCUGGGUCCUCUUAACUGGUGAGCCAUCUCUCCAGCCUCUUUUUUUAGGGUUGCCCAGGCUGGUCUUGAAUUCCGGGUGUAAUCAAGGCCAUCCUUGAACAGCCUCUUACAUGCUAGGUGUGCUCCACCACACCUGGUUCCUUCUGGUUUAACCAGAUGUCUUGAAGAGGAUUGGCUCUCUGUUCAGAAGGCCCUUCCUGUGAGUCCUUUCAAGUUAUAGCCCCACGGCAGGAAUGCAGACAUUUGCUCUCCCCUCUGUGACAGACAUUCAGGAUGUCCAAGCUUCUGCGGUAUAAGCAAGGCUGGUGUUCACCAGAUGCUAUGCAAAAAAACUCGUGGAGCCAAUUACCUACACACAGACUCUCUAAGUCAAAAGUAUGUUUGUACUUUCACAGGAACCCUUCCAUGGAGCUUGUCCCCAGCCACCUCUGUUUUCCCACAAUUUCCACAGCACAGGCAGUUCUACAAACUUCCGAUCUUUGCCAAAUUGGAAAAAUGGAAGUAGGUGUCUUUCCUAGAGCCUUCUCUGCUUCUGGCGGGUGGGUGAAUCUUUCUGUAUUCCACCACCCUGCGGGCAGAUGUGCAGGGACGGAGUUGGUGACUGGAGCACGCUUGUUGGAAGGAGGCACCCCUAGUGAGGAAGGGGCUGUGGCCAGCAGAGAGACCCCGCGGCUUCCUCUGUACAGCCUUCCUCUUCCUCCAUACACACACCCUUGGGCUCUCAAGCCUCCACAUUGUCACACAACACUCAAAGCUCCUUCUCCUCCGUAGGAAGCCACUCCCUCUUCCUGUCAUUCAACAUUUCUUUGGCUCCGGGAUUCCAGAAGUCUGGGCUAGGGAGAUAGCCCGUCCUUCCGUUAGAAGAUAAAAGACUCUGAGGCAGUCUGUCCUACCCUAAGCCGUGGAGCCAUGAGCAGAACCAAUAUGUGGAUACUGGUGUGUCUGGCAGGAAUGGAUAUCAUCUCCAUGGCAACUCCAAGCGUCAAGACUCCUGACUAUGCAGUCGGGGCAGUGAUAAAGGAGCUGAUCCUUGCUGAGUCACCUUCCACACCUACCCUACUCUCUGGACUCCGGCUUCACAUAUUUUGUUCUCACCCUUGAACCUGCCAAGCUCCCCCUGCCUUAGCGCCUCUGCCCUGUGGUCCUAUCUUUCUAGACCUCUCUUCCCAAGACCCACAUUCGAAGUAUACACCUUCCCCGCCCUCCCCCACCCCACCCCCGUCUCUCACGGUUUGGCCUGCUCUUUUAGGUGUUGAGUGUUGCCUGCCCCUCCUGCUAAUCUCUAAGACCCAUUUAUGCCUCACACAAGUCCAGGAGCUGAAGGUUUAGAAGAUGGAGUUGAAUGCAGUGCCUGGUGGAUCCUGAGUCUCCUGUAACUCCGAACUGUUGCUUGUCACCCUGUAAGCUCCAGUGGCCAUCGCUGUUGUAUCUGGAGGGAACAACCUCACCUGGCAGCUCCUGGAGAAGUAUGGGGUGGUGUGCCAAACAGGGAUGUUGGAGAAGCAGAAGGAGUGAGUGGAGCAGGCUGCCACAGCCGGAAAGAGGUCUCAGGCUGUUUUCUGUGGCUAUAACUGAACAAUAUAGACUGAGUUGUUUGCAAUGAGGAGAUUAUUGUGUGGUUUGGGCUUGGAGCCUGCGAAGUCUCAGGGCAUGGCACUGCACUGUGCUGUGUGGCUUUGGGGUAGGAACAUAACUUUUUUUGUUCCCACAUCACUUGGAGAGGGCCUCCACAGCAACAUGAGACACCUUUUACAACAAAGCCACUCUGCUGGAAGCCAAUAGCCCCUCCUCCCCCCAGUGUAUGGAAGGAUGAAUUUAUUCAGGAGGGCAGAAUCCUCAUAACACAAACAUGCCGCCUUCAAAUAAUACCAUUACCAUGUGCCUUGGGAGGGGGUUAAGUUUCCAAAACAUGACAUGAUCAUAGGCCCGGAAGUGGGUGUUAUGCCUCAAGUUUUGGGGAGUUGGGGACAGGAGAGAUGGUCUGGUGAUAAUAAACAUCUGUUGCUCUCCCAGAGGACCAGAGCUUAGAUCCCAGCAUCCAUAUCAUUAGAUGGCCCGGCUGCCUAUAGCUCUGGGGUAGCCACGUGCUCAUGCAUAUCCACACAAGCUGACACACAUAUCCACAUAAAUAAAAAUAAGAAUCUUAGAUUUGAAACUGGGGCUCAGAGAGUGAUAAACCUAAGACCACCAUGUUGGUCAUUGUGCUUCCAAAGCUACCAACACACAUCAAGGAGUGAUGUCAUAUGCCUGUAAUCCAGUACUUGGGAGGUAGAGGCAGGAGGGUUAUCCUGGGCUACACAGUGAGUCCAGCCUGGGUUACAAUAGAGUCCGUGCAGACAAAUGAAAGCACCUAGAACAGUGUCUGUAGACUGAAUGAGCAAUUUACAUUUUCACAUCUAAGCACUGAAGGUUUUGUCAGGGCUUAGAAUUUGGGGAUGUACCUGGGAGCAUCCCAAGUAUGUGGGCCAGAGCUGUAGCCAGGCUUCCUGUGUUUCCCCUGCGUCUGAGUCUCCUGGUGAAGAAAUCCAUGUUGACAGGGUCAGGAAUCUCUGAGCUGGGUGGUCUUUUCCACACAGCGUCCCCCCUCCACCUCCAGUCCUCUGGAGUAUAUGCUGAGGAAGCCUUUGUCCUGUAGCUGAAAGAAGCUUUGCAUAGGUACGAGGCCUAACUUGCGGCAGUAGGGGCAGGACAGGAACAAAGACGGAGGCCUGGGAGGGAGAUGCCCAGGCUGUGCUCUUGGGAUACAUGCUGUAGCUGACAUCUGGCUGGGCAGGCACAUGUGCAGGCAUAUGUGCACACACAAACCCACCUCCUGCCCUUCCACAUAAGUCACACUCGUGUUCACAGGCCUUGGGUCAGUCCAUAUUCCAGGAGUCCUCUUAGUCCCCAGGCUGCGGCAGGAUCAGGUCAAGUGGUACACUCAGUACUCAGUGCCCAAUCUGAGCCACCUAAAAUAGCUAAAUCUCUCUCUCUCUCUCUCUCUCUCUC
rnacentral:lncRNA from 1 species